CAUGUACUCCCUUCGUCUCAAAAUUCUUGUCUUAUAUUUGUGUAGAUACGCAUGUAUCUAAUACUAAAACGUGACUUGAUACAUUCAUAUUUAAACAAAUUUAAGACAAGAAUUUUAGGAUGGAAGAAGUAAUUU
rfam:Triticum urartu cultivar G1812 contig344385, whole genome shotgun sequence.